CGGCGGACGGGUGAGUAACGCGUGGGUAACCUGCCUCAUACAGGGGGAUAACAGUUGGAAACGGCUGCUAAUACCGCAUAAGCGCACAGUACCGCAUGGUACCGUGUGAAAAACUCCGGUGGUAUGAGAUGGACCCGCGUCUGAUUAGCUAGUUGGUGGGGUAACGGCCUACCAAGGCGACGAUCAGUAGCCGACCUGAGAGGGUGACCGGCCACAUUGGGACUGGGACACGGCCCAA
rnacentral:rRNA from 1 species